GGGCCGCUAGCUCAAUUUGGUAGAGCAAUGGACUCUUAAUCCAUAGGUUGGAGGUUCGAGUCCUCCGCGGCCCACCA
rnacentral:tRNA from 1 species